rnacentral:rRNA from 1 species
UCUUCGGGUCUAGUGGCGCACGGGUGCGUAACGCGUGGGAAUCUACCCUUGGGUUCGGAAUAACAGUUGGAAACGACUGCUAAUACCGGAUGAUGACGAAAGUCCAAAGAUUUAUCGCCCAGGGAUGAGCCCGCGUAGGAUUAGCUAGUUGGUGAGGUAAAGGCUCACCAAGGCUACGAUCCUUAGCUGGUCUGAGAGGAUGAUCAGCCACACUGGGACUGAGACACGGCCCAAACUCCUACGGGAGGCAGCAGUAGGGAAUAUUGGACAAUGGGGGCAACCCUGAUCCAGCAAUGCCGCGUGAGUGAUGAAGGCCUUAGGGUUGUAAAGCUCUUUUACCCGAGAUGAUAAUGACAGUAUCGGGAGAAUAAGCUCCGGCUAACUCCGUGCCAGCAGCCGCGGUAAUACGGAGGGAGCUAGCGUUGUUCGGAAUUACUGGGCGUAAAGCGCACGUAGGCGGCGAUUUAAGUCAGAGGUGAAAGCCCGGGGCUCAACCCCGGAACUGCCUUUGAGACUGGAUUGCUAGAAUCUUGGAGAGGCGGGUGGAAUUCCGAGUGUAGAGGUGAAAUUCGUAGAUAUUCGGAAGAACACCAGUGGCGAAGGCGGCCCGCUGGACAAGUAUUGACGCUGAGGUGCGAAAGCGUGGGGAGCAAACAGGAUUAGAUAGCCUGGUAGUCCACGCCGUAAACGAUGAUAACUAGCUGCUGGGACACAUGGUGUUUCGGUGGCGCAGCUAACG